rnacentral:piRNA from 1 species
UCACGUGAUUACAGGAUAGGCGGGCC